GGCUUGUAUUUAUUAGAUAACAGACCAAUAUAGUGGUGACUCAUAGUAACUGNNCGAAUCGCACGGGCUUGCCCGCGAUAAAUCAUUCAAGUUUCUGCCCCAUCAGCUGUAGAUGGUAGUGUAUUGGACUACCAUGGCUUUCACGGGUAACGGAGGAUUAUGGUUCGAUUCCGGAGAGGGAGCCUGAGAAACGGCUACCACAUCUAAGGAAGGCAGCAGGCGCGUAAAUUACCCAAUACUGAUUCAGUGAGGUAGUGACAAGAAAUAACGGGCCGGGACAANAAAA
rnacentral:rRNA from 1 species